UACGUAGGGGGCUAGCGUUGUCCGGAUUUAUUGGGCGUAAAGAGCGUGUAGGCGGCCAGGUAGGUCUGCUGUGAAAACUCGAGGCUCAACCUCGAGACGUCGGCGGAAACCAUCUGGCUAGAGUCCGGAAGAGGAGAGUGGAAUUCCUGGUGUAGCGGUGAAAUGCGCAGAUAUCAGGAAGAACACCCGUGGCGAAGGCGGCUCUCUGGGACGGUACUGACGCUGAGGAGCGAAA
rnacentral:rRNA from 1 species